rnacentral:misc_RNA from 1 species
UCAAACUUGGUCAUUUAGAGGAAGUAAAAGUCGUAACAAGGUUUCCGUAGGUGAACCUGCGGAAGGAUCAUUACUGCAUCUCCGACGGCGGGGCACUCCCAGCUCAGGUCCGAAAGGCCCUUGCAGCGGGAUGCCUCGAUCCGUUCGGUCUCCUUUGCAAACCCCAUGUGCACCUUUGUCGGCGGAGGGCUCCGUCUGGGGCCCGAGCCGGAUCUCAGACUCCAGUUUGAACGAAAUUGCGCGCACUUUGUGGCGCCUAAACCUUAACAACUUUCAACAACGGAUCUCUUGGCUCUCGCAUCGAUGAAGAACGCAGC